GUGUCAGCCGCCGCGGUAAGACGGAGGGUGCAAGCGUUGUUCGGAAUUACUAGGCGUAAAGAGCGUGUAGGUGGUUAGCUAAGUCGGAUGUGAAAAUUCCGAGCUCAACUCGGAACCUGCAUUCGAAACUGGUUAACUUGAGUGUGGGAGAGGAGAGUGGAAUUCCUAGUGUAGCGGUGAAAUGCGUAGAUAUUAGGAAGAACACCAGUGGCGAAGGCGACUCUCUGGCCUAAAACUGACACUGAGACGCGAAAGCGUGGGGAGCGAACAGGAUUAGAUACCCUGGUAGUCCACGCUGUAAACGAUGGGCAUUAGGUGUAGGAGGUAUCCAAUCCUUCUGUGCCGAAGCUAACGCAUUAAAUGCCCCGCCUGGGGAGUACGGUCGCAAGGCUGAAACUCAAAUGAAUUGACGGGG
rnacentral:rRNA from 1 species